rnacentral:rRNA from 1 species
AUUGAACGCUGGCGGCAGGCCUAACACAUGCAAGUCGGACGGUAGCACAGAGGAGCUUGCUCCUCGGGUGACGAGUGGCGGACGGGUGAGUAAUGUCUGGGGAUCUGCCCGAUAGAGGGGGAUAACCACUGGAAACGGUGGCUAAUACCGCAUAACGUCGCAAGACCAAAGAGGGGGACCCUCGGGCCUCUCACUAUCGGAUGAACCCAGAUGGGAUUAGCUAGUAGGCGGGGUAAUGGCCCACCUAGGCGACGAUCCCUAGCUGGUCUGAGAGGAUGACCAGCCACACUGGAACUGAGACACGGUCCAGACUCCUACGGGAGGCAGCAGUGGGGAAUAUUGCACAAUGGGCGCAAGCCUGAUGCAGCCAUGCCGCGUGUAUGAAGAAGGCCUUCGGGUUGUAAAGUACUUUCAGCGGGGAGGAAGGCGGUGCGGUUAAUAACCGCGCCGAUUGACGUUACCCGCAGAAGAAGCACCGGCUAACUCCGUGCCAGCAGCCGCAGUAAGAC